rnacentral:rRNA from 1 species
GAUGAACGCUGGCGGCGUGCCUAAUACAUGCAAGUCGAGCGAACAGACGAGGAGCUUGCUCCUCUGACGUUAGCGGCGGACGGGUGAGUAACACGUGGAUAACCUACCUAUAAGACUGGGAUAACUUCGGGAAACCGGAGCUAAUACCGGAUAAUAUAUUGAACCGCAUGGUUCAAUAGUGAAAGACGGUUUUGCUGUCACUUAUAGAUGGAUCCGCGCCGCAUUAGCUAGUUGGUAAGGUAACGGCUUACCAAGGCAACGAUGCGUAGCCGACCUGAGAGGGUGAUCGGCCACACUGGAACUGAGACACGGUCCAGACUCCUACGGGAGGCAGUAGUAGGGAAUCUUCCGCAAUGGGCGAAAGCCUGACGGAGCAACGCCGCGUGAGUGAUGAAGGUCUUCGGAUCGUAAAACUCUGUUAUUAGGGAAGAACAAAUGUGUAAGUAACUAUGCACGUCUUGACGGUACCUAAUCAGAAAGCCACGACUAACUACGUG